CUGCUCGAAAUGCUUGAGUACUGGCUAUCUGGGAUGUGGCUUUUGGGCCUUGUGCCAUGUCACGGUGCCCCUAGCAGGCGGGCACGUUCAUGGGCGUGACACAUGUGUGUCGCGCUCCUCUGAUGUGUCCGUGCUGGGUGAACCUAUCGAAGCAUCACACGGAAAUUGCCCACCACACCUCGUUGCUUGGUCACCCGCUGGGUCUAAACGUGCAGGAUGCUCAUCCAUUUUCCGGACUGUCAAUGCUGUUGACGCGUGUAUGGGCGAUAUGGAACCGCACGGAGGGCUUUUCCUUGCGCGUACGCGCUCGCGUCACGUCCGUGAUCCUGGCUCUGACUGCCAACUUGUAGACGUGGUGUGAUCCAUUCAGCCACGAAGCUGGAAUUGGCCAGACGCAUACAACCCCACCACUGCGGCCAUGUGCCGGUCGCGGUGUACCUGCGGGCAGGCUGCUUGCGUCCCAUGCUCGCAUACGCUCACCCUGGGAGUUGGUCUGAUUGUUGAUGAUCUAACGACCAUCGGUCACUUCUCCAAACACGGGCCAAGGAGUAUAGCAUGUGUGCAAGUCU
rnacentral:rRNA from 1 species